rnacentral:lncRNA from 1 species
GCGGGAUGUCCUGUCCGCAGUCUUCAGCCCAGCCGCCGCCACCCAUAAGCUAUGAGGAGGAGUUUACGACCACCUGGACUACUACCACCUGCGUGACUUCCCGGCCUGCGGGGUCCGCGCAGCAAAGGCUUGACGCUGCUGGAGCAGGCGCUGCGCACCUACUGGCUGGCGCCUGGUAGGCACGAGCGCAGGGUCGCCCAGAAGCUCCUCAAUGGCCUGAGCAAGUACCAGCCAGCGCCAGCUGCAGCCCUGGCCGCGCACUCGCCUCAGCUGAGCCUGGAACUUCCGAAUUUCAACAGAUGCCAGUGUUCUCUCCUUUUUUCACAUGGGAAAAUUCCCUUGAAACUCAUUUGAAGCUUGGACAAAAAUUCCACAGCUGUAUUCUUCAGGAUCACUUUGCAGAGUCUUCAAGACUCAGAUACAGAGGAAGCUUCAAUUCAACCUUUCAGAGAAGAUUCCAGCUCGCAUGAUCUCAUCAACCAAGAGAAUGUUGGUGGCAACCAGUGCUGAAAGGGGGAUAAAAAUUAGAUAGCUCAGAUGAUUAGGAGCCCUAAUUCGACUCAACUUCCCACUUCCAACUAAGCUGCACACGUUAACAUCCAAUUAAAUUUCCCCCUUCCCCUCUACACAUCAGAGGGCUAGUUCGGUUUCCAUACUUUCAGCUGAUUACAUUAUUCAUGGGGGAAAAUGAGCAACUAAACAGAAAACACCAAAUGAAGAGUAUGAUGAUUCUCUAACAGUUUAGUUUUCAUUUUCCCAAACUUACCAGGAAUGAAGAAGCUGUUUCUUUACACAAUCGUUAUCCCAUAAUGCCUGCUUCUGCUGCUACCACGGGCUCACCUAAAAGGCAACCAAAGUAAAUUCAGUCAAUAAGAACCAACAAUAUUGUGUGUGGCUUUGCUUAUCACCGAUGACUCAUUUCCUCCAGUAUUAACUAUGGGAAUUCAAAGCUUCUCUGUUAGCCCAAUUUUCUACUCUAAACCAUGACCCCUGUCCACAAUAUUUGAGGAGUGUCUGACUUCUACUUAGAAGACCUGAACACCCCUCUCUCCUUCUGGAUACAUUUCUGUUUACCCAUACUAAAGUACAGCACUGCAACUCUAAUCUGGCUAAAAUGGACUGAUCAUUUCCCUCAUUCCAGAAAUCUUUUUUAUUAAAUAAUAAUGUUGACAGCAAUAGGUCUUGCACAUACUGCAUGGAUGUACCUGUUAUCUGUCUCCUACUUUGUACUUAAUUUGUGUUGUUUUGUUACAGGGGCCUAAGAUCAGGGCUGUCACCAUUUCAUUAGAUUUCUAGAUCCCCUCUUCUGGCAUUAUUUGCUAUCUUUAGCUGUUUUUCACCCAUGAAUAUAAUCAC